UACAGAGGAGCCAAGCGUUGUCCGGAUUGACUGGGCGUAAAGCGCACGCAGGCGGUCGGGCGCGUGGGGUGUGAAAUCUGGCCGCUUAAACGGCCAGGCGCCAUCCCAUACGGCACGACUGGAAGUGAUGCAGAGGUCGAUGGAAUUGCCGGUGUAGUGGUGAAAUGCGCAGAUAUCAGGAGGAACACCGGUGGCGAAGGCGGGUCUCUGGGCCGAUACUGACGCUGAGGAGCGAAAGCGUGGGGAGCAAACAGG
rnacentral:rRNA from 1 species